CUACGGGGGGCAGCAGUGAGGAAUUUUGCGCAAUGGGGGCAACCCUGACGCAGCAACGCCGCGUGAGUGAAGAAGGCCUUUGGGUCGUAAAGCUCUGUCGACAGGGAAGAAGUUAUAGAUAUCCAAUAGGUAUUUAUAUUGACGGUACCUGUAGAGGAAGCACCGGCUAACUCCGUGCCAGCAGCCGCGGUAAUACGGGGGGUGCAAGCGUUAUUCGGAAUUAUUGGGCGUAAAGGGCGCGUAGGCGGUCUUGUCGGUCAGAUGUGAAAGCCCGGGGCUCAACCCUGGACGUGCAUUUGAAACAGCAAGACUGGAGUACGGGAGAGGAAAGCGGAAUUCCUGGUGUAGAGGUGAAAUUCGUAGAUAUCAGGAGGAACACCGAUGGCGAAGGCAGCUUUCUGGACCGAUACUGACGCUGAGGCGCGAAGGCGUGGGUAGCGAACGGGAUUAGAUACCCUCGUAGUC
rnacentral:rRNA from 1 species